rnacentral:rRNA from 1 species
UUGGAGGGCAAGUCUGGUGCCAGCAGCCGCGGUAAUUCCAGCUCCAAUAGCGUAUAUUAAAGUUGUUGCAGUUAAAAAGCUCGUAGUUGAAUUUCGAGACCGGUUUACUGGUCGUGCUUUUGUACGUACUGGUAUUAUUGGUUUCUCCUUUCUGACGAACUAUAAUGCCAUUAAUUUGGUGUUUUAGGGAAUCAGGACUGUUACUUUGAAAAAAUUAGAGUGUUUAAAGCAGGCUCACGCUUGAAUACAUUAGUAUGGAAUAACGGAAUAGGACGUUUGAUUCUAUUUUGUUGGUUUCUAGGAUCGACGUAAUGAUUAAUAGGGAUAGUUGGGGGCAUUAGUGUUCAAUUGUCGGAGGUGAAAUUCUUGGAUUUAUUGAAGACUAACUACUGCGAAAGCAUUUGCCAAGGAUGUUCUCAUUAAUCAAGAACGAAAGUUAGGGGAUCGAAGACGAUCAGAUACCGUCGUAGUCUUAACCAUAAGCUAUGCCGACUAGGGAUCGGAUGAUGUUAAUUUUUUAAUGACUCAUUCGGCGCCUUACGGGAAACCAAAGUGUUUGGGUU